AUACGUAGGGUGCGAGCGUUGUCCGGAAUUACUGGGUGUAAAGGGAGCGCAGGCGGGCGUGCAAGUCAGCUGUGAAAUCCAUGGGCUUAACCCGUGGGCUGCAGUUGAAACUGUAUGUCUUGAGUGAAGUAGAGGUAGGCGGAAUUCCGAGUGUAGCGGUAAAAUGCGUAGAUAUUCGGAGGAACACCGGUGGCGAAGGCGGCCUACUGGGCUUUAACUGACGCUGAGGCUCGAAAGUGUGGGGAGCAAACAGGAUUAGAUACCCUGGUAGUCCACACUGUAAACGAUGAUUGCUAGGUGUGGGGGGUCUGACCCCUUCCGUGCCGCAGUUAACGCAAUAAGCAAUCCACCUGGGGAGUACGGCCGCAAGGCUAAAACUCAAAUGAAUUGGCGGGG
rnacentral:rRNA from 1 species